rnacentral:lncRNA from 1 species
UCUUGAGUUGGAGAUAGUCGGAUCUGAAGUGGCCUGGCUUCCUAGUGGUCUUCUCUUGGUCCCUUGUCUUCUUUUUCUCAUGAAUCAUCUUAAUUUUUUAGUGAUUAAGGCUAAGUCCUCAUCUUCUUUGCUGUUCUCAGAUUUUUCUAAAUCUUCUUCUUCUUGAGCUAUCGAUUUGAGAGCAAUUAUCUUUUUUCUUCUGAUCUUUUCCUCAGAGCGUUGCUUCAUGGUCAGCU